UAUGGCCGACCCAACUGUCGAUAGACCUCACACAGUAUUGCCGAUAGAGAUGAGAAGAGGAGAAAUAAGGAGAAAAGGUUAGAUUUUGGACAAGUUAAGAAGAGAGAGUAGAGAGGAAAGGGAAAAUUAAUUCUUCGCCACAAACUAUCUCUCCCAGGCUGAUAUCCUAUGAGGAGAAAUAACUUAGAGGAAAUAUUAACAUAUUGGGACUCAAAAAUGUACAAUAGCAGAUGUUCCCA
rnacentral:lncRNA from 1 species